rnacentral:rRNA from 1 species
UACGUAGGGGGCAAGCGUUGUCCGGAAUCAUUGGGCGUAAAGAGCUCGUAGGCGGCUUGUCGCGUCGACCGUGAAAACUUGGGGCUCAACCCCAAGCCUGCGGUCGAUACGGGCAGGCUCGAGUUCGGUAGGGGAGACUGGAAUUCCUGGUGUAGCGGUGAAAUGCGCAGAUAUCAGGAGGAACACCGAUGGCGAAGGCAGGUCUCUGGGCCGAUACUGACGCUGAGGAGCGAAAGCGUGGGGAGCGAACAGG